CACGUAGGGUGCGAGCGUUGUCCGGAAUUAUUGGGCGUAAAGAGCUCGUAGGCGGUCUGUCGCGUCGGAUGUGAAAACUCGGGGGCUCAACCCCCGAGCCUGCAUUCGAUACGGGCAGACUAGAGUUCGGUAGGGGAGACUGGAAUUCCUGGUGUAGCGGUGAAAUGCGCAGAUAUCAGGAGGAACACCGGUGGCGAAAGGCGGGUCUCUGGGCCGAUACUGACGCUGAGGAGCGAAAGCGUGGGGGAGCGAACAGG
rnacentral:rRNA from 1 species